rnacentral:lncRNA from 10 species
GCUGGGUCCCAAGGCAGACAUAGGCUUUACCGUUUUAAGGAACUGCCAGACAGAUUUCCAAGUGACUGUGCCUCUGCAUUCCUGCCAGCAGCGGAUGAGAGUUCUGGCGCUCUGUCCUCAUCCUUGCCAGCGGUGUUUAUGACACCUGUUCAGACUUCUAAAGUCCAAGAAGGGACCUCAGCAACACAGGCACGUCUCCUGGGCAGAGGCGUGCGUCAUGGAAAACUUGGAGGCUGGUGAUUGGGCCGUCUCUGCUGCAAAGUCAAGUCCCCGAACGCUUGAAAAACAACAUAAUGUAUUCCUGUCUGCAGCUCUGAGCGAAAGCUCAUUUUGUGUCCUGUGUUUCCAUUUCCUGAGGAUUAAUAAGUGUGGAGGGGAACUCGGGCUUCGUGCCGAAUAUUUAUUUAGUCAAUAUACGCAUCAAUUUAG